rnacentral:lncRNA from 1 species
UCUCGUAUCAGUCUUUUAGAACACACCCAGUAGAAAUUACUAUUUUUUUUUUUUGCCGUGGGAACUACGUUCAGCUGUAGAGUCAAUAUGGCAAUAGCAGAUCAGCAGUAAGUAACCACCUUACUGAGUCACUCUUCAAACUUGCUAAUGGAGAUGGAACAGUUAAUUAGGCAAGGGGAUUAGCCAAAAUACAAUACAUCUCCUUUAUCAACACAAUCCAUGAUGUGACUCUCAUCUUUGCCCUGUACUUAUGACCUUCAUGCUGUACAGAAGACAUUCUUACUGCCACUACCCAUGGGCAACACCUUCUUCUAAUUACCUUCUGUUAGGAGGAUUUCAUCAUCGAGGUUUCUGCUCUUGGUGUUUGUGUGUAUAUAUAUAUGCACUCACAGAUGGACAAGCAGAUAUUUGAUUGUACUGGAAUACUUAAAGCACAGACUGACUGUGAAACAGAUCGAGAACCCAUGUCUGCCAUGAAGAUAACAGGUGUUUUUGUGCUUCUUGCCCUGGCGGUUCUUUGCUUAGCAAAUGCUGCCAAAAAGGAUGAGAUAGACUGCAGUGAAUACAGGAGGUUAGAGAGAGGAAGACCUAUUUACUGCGAAAAGCUCUACCAACCUUUUUGUGGCUCUGAUGGGAAAACAUACAACAACAAAUGUUCUUUCUGCAAGGCAGUCCUGAAGAGCAGAGGAACCUUACGUAUGAAGCAAGCAGGCGUAUGCUGAAUUAAUUCCUCAUGACAGAGAAGAAUGCCAAGAACAGCUUUACACUGCCUUAUCACGAUCUCCUAAUUUAAUUUCAUUCAUCCUGUACUAAUAAAAGUGAACAAAUCUCCA